rnacentral:snRNA from 1 species
AUAGUAUGUACACUAAAAUUGGAAUGAUACAGAGUUUAGCAUGGCCCGUAUACAAGCGGAUGAUAUGCAAAUUUGUGAAGCAUUAAAAAAAACC